AUACUUAUCUGGAUGGGCUAUAUGAGUGAUCAAGAAAGCUCAUAACCAAAGGUUAGCGGCCUCCAUUGCACAUAGGUAGAGUGCUAGCCUACCAUCUCUUCGUGUAGGAGAGUGGAUAUUAUAAUUUGUUGUAGAAGGGAAACGUGUUUGUGCGGUUCCUGC